AUUGAACGCUGGCGGCAGGCCUAACACAUGCAAGUCGAACGAGUGGCGGACGGGUGAGUAAUGUCUGGGAAACUGCCCGAUUGAGGGGGAUCACUACUGGAAACGGUGGCUAAUACCGCAUACUAUCUGCUGUGCCCAUAUGGGAUUAGCUAGUGGGUGGGGUAACGGCUCACCAAGGCGACGAUCCCUAGCUUGUCUGAGAGGAUGACCAGCCACACUGGAACUGAGACACGGCCCAGACUCCUACGGGAGGCAGCAGUGGGGAAUAUUGUACAAUGGGCGAAAGCCUGAUGCAGCCAUGCCGCGUGGAUGAAGAAGGCCUUCGGGUUGUAAAGUACUUUCAGCGGGGAGGCGUUACCCGCAGAAUAAGCACCGGCUAACUCCGUGCCAGCAGCCGCGGUAAUAC
rnacentral:rRNA from 1 species